CAAUCCCAGAUGGCGUCGCCGUUGCCGGGAGACAGGAGAAGAACGUGAACGUUGCCAAGAGUUGUAAAAAGGGAAUAGUUGGUGGCGUGGAUAGUAGAGGUACUAUCCCGCUGGCCUAGCUCCUCCCCCUUGUGUUGUGACUCACCUGCCCGGCCUCCACAGCUCUGGUUUAGGUGGAGCUGCCUUCAGUGCCUUACCCUUGAUUGAAGUCCUGCGGCCACCCACUCACACGCACGUCCACUGGCAUAUCUGACUGCGGGGCAGUGGCUGCGGCACUAGUAGAUUUCAUCAUUGUAAAUAUCCCAACGAGAGCCAGUUUGCUGCAAAAUGACAGCACUUAAUAUAGACUCAAGGCACUUUAUUAUUGAACAAGGCAUCUUCUGGACGAUGUGAUCUGCUACAUGAAUAGUGAAUACCGACUGAAGACGCUGUCUGACUUAGAGGAUACAUUUCUUCAGAGGUUCCUUUUGGCCGGUCUCCGUGACAACGGAUAGUGGAAUGUGCCUUCAUCACUGGGCGCCAUAAUCCCUGGCUCCGGUCUUGCCGGUGCACAUGGUGUGAGAACUUAGGGGAUAUAUGGCCCUCACUCUCCUCAGAUGAUAAGUACAGUAUAUGGAGCGAAAUUUCUCUUUUGUGGUAAAGAGGGGAGGAGAUUCGACCUUUUGGGUCUUGAGAUGGAGCCGACCGUUAAUUACAUCUCACCGAAUUAUACUCUUCAGCGGUUUCAGAUGGAUAGGAGCUUCGCAUUUGCACAACAGAGAGGAGAGCGAGAGAAAAAAAAAAUACCCACUUAACUGAUUUAACCAUCGAUGCAUUGAUACCGUCCUUGAUUAGCAAAGCAACAGACCUGAUUGCCUGGGACAUGUGAAACAGAGGAAGCACAGCACCAGUGGAACCACUCACAUUGGAGAUGCUUAAGGACCCCCAGGACGUACACAUAGAGACGGCUACUCUGAUGAAAGCUGGAGAAUUCCCACCUCUGAACUGUAGGUCUGAACACCAGGCAGAGAGCAACAUUCAUUGGGAAGAUGCUAGGGUUCUGACUGGAACUGACUGUGGUAUUUGGCACUUCUGGGUGUGCACUACUGUGCAGAGUCCAGUCUUCCAGUCCUCCAGGGAUGCUUCAUUCCCUAUCCCAAGAUGGCAACCGAGCUCUCUACGGGGCAUGUGCAUUUACAUAGCUUUUUUCCCCCUGUAGGCCUCUAAGCACUAUACAUUUUAGCAGAAGGUGAGGCAGCCAUCUUGGGUUCUCUCAGUUGCUAUCCUAUGUAAUCUUCCUUCACUGAAACCAUUGUGAAAUGCGGUGAAGCCCGAUAAACCCACCUACUUACUAAACAGGCAGCCAAUGAUGAGCUGUUUUUCAUCAAUCAGAGAUGAGAGACCUCCCCCUAUUGGCCAGACAUCUAUUAAGUAGGCAGGCUUCCUGGAGAUGGGUUUAGUAUUAAAUUACUACAAUCAAAAUCCCGACGGUCAAAAUACCGACAACAAUUGACGGUCAAAAUACACACAGGUCAAAAUACCGACAUUUAAGAUGCCGGCAGGUCAAAAAGUCGACAUGAGUUUGUCAUUAUUAAUUUUUUGUGUGUAUGUCGACAUAGGUCGAUAUGGACACCGUAUAAGUGUACCGUGUCCCCUCACAUGGCUCGCGCUUCGGGCACGGUGAUAUUCUCCCUCCAGGUCCACUGGGAUGGUAAAGUAUGAACAAAUCGGUUUCAAUAAAAAACUCAUGUCAACUUUUUGACCUGUCGACAUUUUAAAUGUCAGUAUUUUGUCUUUGUCGGUAUUGUAAAUGUCGUUAUUUUGACCUUGUCGGGAUUUUGACCGUCGGUCAAUGGUUGUCGGUAUUUUGUCCGUCUGGAUUUUGAUUGUAGGUAAAUUGUCCGCACCCCCUGGAGAUAACUCAUUUGAUGUCAGGGCUUCUAAGGAGCAGUCUGUGUCACUUCUAGAAAAGAUCACCGUGGGUCAGUAAUCAGAAAUACCACUUCUUUACAGAAAAUAUUACUAUAAUAUAAAAAAUGAUAUUGCUGCCAAAAUAAUGAUAUCUCACUUCAACUAUUGGGGCAGAAUUAAUUAAAGUUAUUUAUCCAGGGGAACUAAUAUUUAAUAAAAACUAUAGGAGGGCAUUAUUCUUUAUUUUUAUUUACUUUAUUCCAUGGUAUAGA